UGGGGAAUUUUGCACAAUGGGCGCAAGCCUGAUGCAGCGACGCCGCGUGAGGGAUGAAGGCCUUCGGGUUGUAAACCUUUUUCGCUCAUGGUCAAGCCGCAGCUUUGGGUUGUGGUGAGGGUAGUGGGUAAAGAAGCGCCGGCUAACUACGUGCCAGCAGCCGCGGUAAUACGUAGGGCGCGAGCGUUGUCCGGAAUUAUUGGGCGUAAAGGGCUUGUAGGCGGUUGGCCGCGUCUGCCGUGAAAUCCUCUGGCUUAACUGGGGGCGUGCGGUGGGUACGGGUUGACUUGAGUGCGGUAGGGGAGACUGGAAUUCCUGGUGUAGCGGUGGAAUGCGCAAAUAUCAGGAGGAACACCGGUGGCGAAGGCGGGUCUCUGGGCCGUUACUGACGCUGAGGAGCGAAAGCGUGGGGAGCGAACAGG
rnacentral:rRNA from 1 species